rnacentral:lncRNA from 1 species
GUGCUUAUAGUGAAUCACUGUGCAAAUUAUACAACAAUUUAUCAUAUUGAUCAAUAGAUUUUAUAUUGGACUAUAUGUACAAAUCUUAGUGAGGCACCAUUGUUCCCAGCAUAGUGCAACUAACAUAUAUGACUUGUGGCAGCACUUGAUGGCUUUCAGUACAUCAUAUCCCCCUCACAAUAUCAUAUAAACACUAGCUCUAUGCAGGUGGUUCCUAACCCAUUUGCAUAGUCGUUUUUUCAGAACCGCCAGUGCUAGGGGCUAGUGGAAAUGAAUCUUUCCACUAACGUUUAACUGAGAACCCUCUAUAGAAAUCAAUUUCCAUAGGCGGUUGUGUUAUGCCCACUGCUUGUGCAAAUGCUUUUCCAAAAAAUAUAAAUUGGGUUUUAAAAAUAGGAAAAAUAGGAAAAUUGGGUUUCAAAUAUAUGUGCUAGUGAAACACGCAUAGUCCACUUGAUAUGUGUGCUCUGUUCCUCUGUUUUAUUUGCAUUUUGGAUCCCUCUCUCUCUCCCAUUCUUUCUUCUCUCAGGUUGCCAUUGUUUGAGUAGAGAGUUACUACUAUUCAAUUGUUUGUAGACCAUUAUUUAUACCGCAAUGGGUCAACAAGAGUGACUCUAUAGACCUGGUUCAAAUGAUGAAACAUGUUGUGAAAUAUUUGACAAGUCCUGUGCAAUCACUUUAGUACGUAUAAGUAUGUGACAAAUUUCUACACCAAUAGCAUCAUGUAAUUACCACCGAGGGUUCCUAUAUAUGAGUUCUAUUGGUAGACACAAAGUUAAUUUUUAGAGUAACUCUGUGCCAUGUCAAGUCACACAUGGACAAAUUGAUCAAAAAGGUUUGAACUGGCAAUAAUGACGAAAAUUAACAACUGCAUGGAAACAGCUCAGCAUCUAAGGGAGUUGUACAAGAGCGGAGAUAUUACUGGAUUUAAUGCAUCCUUUAUUUUUCCAUGUGUUAGUUAUAUUAAUCUGAAACACCAGUAACACUCCAUGUUAUCUCAUUCACAAACAACUCGUGAAACGAUAACUGUUGAUAUUCUAUGAAAACACUUGAACUAGCUGAUGACAGAAUACUGCACGGUCGAGCGGUAAACUCUGGAACACUACAAAUAAGAUCGUAAGAGUGGAUUGUCUUGGUGUUAGGGAUACAGAAACUUUUCUUGUCUUUUCAACCUGUCAAAUAUGAAAUGCCAAGAACAUGGGCAUCUUGGCCUGGCCUUGCAUCAGCGCGAGGUGCUACUGCUAAGGGCAAGACCUGCUUCCUGCUAUUGAAACGAAGUAGACUCCUAGCUUUUUUUAGAUAAUGGAUAAAAAUCCGGCUUCAUCUACCGAAGUAUAAUCAGACCUCUUAUUACACAAACCACGCUCAAAAAAUUCAAAAAUUAACCACGUUCUGACAACCUAAAAAAACUGAAAGACUAAAGUACACCAAUUCUUCUAGCUGUAGACCAUCCAUUAGAACCAAAGAAGCGGAGAGGGCAGCAACUUCGAUAUAUUGACAGACUUGGAUUAGCAGAUUCUUCAAAUCUUCACACCUUUGUAGCUUUGCCCACUGGCGUAGCCAAUGUGUUCCCCUGAAUAGAAUCUGCAAAAAAGUUUUUGGUCUACCUUUGUCAAAUACCACUUCAUUAAUUUCUCGUGAGCCAAAUUGACCAACAAAGGGCGGCUGCUGCUAUUAACAUCAAAUUAUUUUGAUUACCACUUCCCACAUUUGACCAACGAUUAAAUGAAUCAUCAAUAAUAUGAGGAGGUGGAAUACCAAAAAGUAAAUGAACGACACGCCACAGGAAUUUUGCAUAGUAACAAUCGAAAAAAAGGUGUUGAAUAGAUUCUGGUAAGCAGCAAAAGCCACUCCAUUUAUCUCCCUCCCAAUUUCGCCUAGCUAGGUUAUCUUUAGUUAAGGUUACACCUAGUUUUAGGUACCACAAAAAUAUUUUAAUUUUUGUAGGUAUCUUUACAUGCUAAAUAUCCUGUGAUACUCUAGCACCACUAUUAAUUAGAGCGGCAUACAUAGAUUUUACUGAGAAUCUCCCUGAUGAAUGUAGCGACCAACUGAAGGUAUCUCCUGGAGAUUCACCUCUAGUAAAGAAUUAACAAUUCUAUGCCAAUCCCUCAUAUUCCUCCCAACUAAGUUUCUACGAAAAGAGAUAUUUAGCGGGACCGAACUGAGCACAUUGGAUACAAUAUCCUGUUUCCUUCUUACUAGAUGAAAGAGAGCCGGGAACCUCUCUAUAAGUGGUUGGUUUCCAAGCCAUUUGUCUUCCCAGAAACGAACCUGCGAACCAUCACCUACAUUGAAAGACCCUAGACUCAUAAAGGUCUCUUUAACAUUCAUCAAUCCUUUCCAAAAGUGAGAAUCAUACGCCUUUUUAACACAAUCUCUUUAACGGUUUGUUUUUCAAAUAUUUAUUUCUCACCAAUUCUUGCCACAUACCCUCUUCAUUUAACAGUUUUAAAAGCCAUUUACUCAACAAACAUUUAUUCUUAAUGUGUAAGUUCUGUAUACCAAGUCCUCCCUG